rnacentral:rRNA from 1 species
GUUACAGCCGCCGCGGUAAUACGUAGGUGGCGAGCGUUAUCCGGAAUUACUGGGUGUAAAGGGCGUGUAGGCGGGUUGGCAAGUCAGAUGUGAAAUCCCAUGGCUUAACUGUGAGGCUGCAUCUGAAACUGCUGAUCUUGAGUAUCGGAGAGGAAAGUGGAAUUCCCAGUGUAGCGGUGAAAUGCGUAGAUAUUGGGAGGAACACCAGUGGCGAAGGCGACUUUCUGGACGGUAACUGACGCUGAGGCGCGAAAGCGUGGGGAGCAAACAGGAUUAGAAACCCUCGUAGUCC